rnacentral:rRNA from 1 species
UACGAAGGGGGCUAGCGUUGCUCGGAAUUACUGGGCGUAAAGCGCACGUAGGCGGCUUUCUAAGUCGGGGGUGAAAUCCUGGAGCUCAACUCCAGAACUGCCUUCGAUACUGGAGAGCUUGAGUCCGGGAGAGGUGAGUGGAACUGCGAGUGUAGAGGUGAAAUUCGUAGAUAUUCGCAAGAACACCAGUGGCGAAGGCGGCUCACUGGCCCGAUACUGACGCUGAGGAGCGAAAGCCAGGGGAGCAAACGGG